rnacentral:rRNA from 1 species
UAAAACGUAGGUGGCAAGCGUUAUCCGGAUUCACUGGGCGUAAAGCGCAUGUAGGUGGCACCGCAAGUAGGGCAUGAAAGCGCCUGGCUUAACUGGGCGUCUGUGUCCUAAACUGCGGCGCUUGAGGCUGAGAGAGGGAAGUGGAAUUGCCGGUGUAGUGGUGAAAUGCGUAGAGAUCGGCAGGAACACCCGUGGCGAAAGCGGCUUCCUGGCUCAGUCCUGACACUCAGAUGCGAAAGCUAGGGGAGCGAACGGGAUUAGAAACCCCGGUAGUCCUAGCCGUAAACGAUGUUCACUAGGUGUCGGGGGUAUUGACCCCCUCGGUGCCGAAGCCAACGCGUUAAGUGAACCGCCUGGGGACUACGGCCGCAAGGUUA